rnacentral:rRNA from 1 species
UGAGUAACGCGUGGGGACCUACCUUUUAGUACGGAAUAACAGUUGGAAACGACUGAUAAUACCGUAUGUGCCCACCCAGAUUGAUUUUUGGGUGGGGAAAGAUUUAUCGCUAAGAGAUGGACCCGCGUUGGAUUAGGUAGUUGGUGAGGUAAUGGCUCACCAAGCCUACGAUCCAUAGCUGGUUUGAGAAGAUGACCAGCCACAUUGGGACUGAGACACGGCCCAGACUCC